rnacentral:rRNA from 1 species
UUUGAUCCUGGCUCAGAUUGAACGCUGGNGGCAUGCCUUACACAUNCAAGUCGAACGGCAGCCGGGGGCAACCCUGGUGGCGAGUGGCGAACGGGUGAGUAAAAUAUUGGAACGUGCCCUAUAGUGGGGGAUAACGUAGCGAAAGUUACGCUAAUACCGCAUACGAUCUAAGGAUGAAAGCGGGGGAUCGCAAGACCUCGCGCUCAUGGAGCGGCCGAUAUCUGAUUAGCUAGUUGGUGGGGUAAAAGCCUACCAAGGCGACGAUCAGUAGCUGGUCUGAGAGGACGACCAGCCACACUGGGACUGAGACACGGCCCACACUCCUACCGGAGGCAGCAGUGGGGAAUUUUGGACAAUGGGCGCAAGCCUGAUCCACCAAUGCCGCGUGAGUGAAGAAGGCCUUCUGGUUGUAAA